UCUCCCCUUUCUCUGUGAAAAAUUGUAUUUCUAUUCCUUGUUUAAUAGAGAGAGAGAGAGAGAGAGAGAGAGAGAGAGAGAGAGGUUAUGCUUCCGGACAAAGAACCACUUCCGAUUACAAUAGCUCUAGCCUCUAGCUCCAUGCAAGCUAGUGUAUGCCAUGCUGGAGGAAAGAAAACUCAAUUUUUAGUUUGGUGAAGUUUUAAAAUUACUCGAGGCUUGAGGCAGAGAAAGAAACCCUGGCCGGUCCGAUUCCAAGGCCGGUUUACAAUUUUUAAAUGUAAAGAGUCCAGAGUCCAGUCAGGACUCAGGAGCGCUGGCUAGCGAUUCGACCAACGGUCGUCCCGCUUCAUCUUCGGAGAUUUCUCUCGAAUUUGCAGGUUGAAGAACAUUUGGUGAGUUUGGGUGAAGACCUAACCGCGCUUAGCUUCCGCAUCUUGACUCGGGCAUCAACUCCUUUGACCAACGGAUUUGGUGCUUGUCUUUGAUUGCAAAAUAUUCUCUAUAGAAAUACUGUCUGUCACAUGAUUUGUUGAACGGGAUAAUGCUACUUCAGGCUUUAUCAAGUCAAGAUAAGCUUCUCGAGGAUCCACAGAAUUUUGUCACAAUCCAGAUAGGUUACUUGUCAAAUUUCAGAUUCAAAUUCAACCCUACAUUCCCUUGUGUACUAGUAUGCAUCCUCAUGUAUGUCCGUGCACACCUACGGUACUUAUCGCCACUUGACAAACACUGUUUGGGCUGAAACUGAACAUGUGAGUAAGGGCCUAAGGUAUACCUGCCAUCAAUUUCAAACCCCAUAUAAUAUGCUGCAUAGAUGGUUUUUGGACCAACCAUCUGCUGGGCCAACCAAAUAUACUUUGCCCUUGUGCCUCAAUUUUUUGUAGUAUUUGUUGGGUUUCCUGUGUAGCUGUUAUCCUCCAAUUUCCCCCAAUGCACUCAAAACUGUUGUAUCAUUGAAGCGUAUAAGUACUUUCCGUUUAUAGUAGAUGAAAAAUUGAUGUUCUGAGAUAAACAUGAAGAAUACAGAAGAAUGUGACGUACCAUACACAUAUAAUUCAGUUUUCCUUUACACGUGGUGAUUCUCUCUUCACCAAUACUAA